rnacentral:rRNA from 1 species
UACAGAGGGUGCAAACGUUGUUCGGAAUUACUGGGCGUAAAGCGCGUGUAGGCGGCCAUCUAAGUCGGGCGUGAAAUCCCACGGCUCAACCGUGGAAGUGCACUCGAAACUGGAUGGCUAGAGUCCUGGAGAGGAAGGUGGAAUGCUUGGUGUAGAGGUGAAAUUCGUAGAUAUCGAGCGGAACACCGGUGGCGAAGGCGGCCUUCUGGACAGUGACUGACGCUGAGACGCGAAAGCGUGGGGAGCAAACAGG